rnacentral:lncRNA from 1 species
UGCCAUGCAAUCCUAACCUCUUUUACUUACCCUAAAUUUCAUAAUUUUCAGGCUUCUACUGAGAAUAAGGAUGGCCAGAGCUCACCAAGCUGCCUCCAGGCACCUAAGCCAGCCAUGACAAUUUAGAGAAAGAGAAAAAUAGACUUGCUCUGUUUGAUUGGGCCCUGGGAAAGUCUGAAGCACAAAGAUAAAAGUGAAAUGGUUCUAUGGAGAUUUGAUGGUGAGAAACCAGACACCUUAGGAUCCAAUACUUCAGCUUCAUCAGUGGAUCCUCCAGAAUGACCUUCUUGCUAUAAAGAGAAUGCUACGUGUUUAUCAACGAUUCAUCGUGACCAGCCUAUAAAGCCCUUGGAUUGAGUAGCCCAUGCGAGUAAAAGGAGCCAAAUACCUACAGCCAAGACAAAGAAGAAUAAAUUGCAGAUGAAAUAAAGAGCCAAACAUCGUGUGCAGCAAAUUUUAAAUCUUAUGCAUGAGAAAGUAUUUGAAAUAGCAAAAAGAUCGCCAAAGCUUGCCCUUAAAUAUUGGUAAUCAGAGCCUUUGGAGUCAAAAAACAACCUACAAAGCAAAUCACAGAGAAGAAAGAAAGAAAGUUAAGCACAGUUCUUCUGCCUGACAAAAGAUAUGUUUAAACAGUUGGAUGGAAACAAGGCACACUUAGCACUUGUGACGCAUAGAAGAGAUUUCUAUAUAACAAAAUUAUUUUCAGCAAUAAUCGCUAAUGAAACUAUUAAAAUAAUAACAUCCAGAAAAGAAAUAGACAAUGAAUAUUUUCUUUUAUUAAACUUUUAAUAAAUAAUCAUGCCACUAUAAAGUAAAAAAUAAAUCAUAAUGUACAAACGAGAAAAAAAU